rnacentral:misc_RNA from 1 species
AGCUGGAUCAUUUUCCGAUGAUCAAAAACAACAACAAAACCCAAACCCCGCUGUCCGUGCAUUCAUUUGCGCGUGACGCACAACAAACCAACCCAAAAACAAACCAACUUGCCGCUCGAGGGCGGGAGGACCACCACCAGCGUCCUCCGCCCUUUGAGCACGGCUUUCACAACGUGUCGCGAUGGAUGACUUGGCUUCCUAUUUCGUUGAAGAACGCAGCAAAGUGCGAUAAGUGGUAUCAAUUGCAGAAUCACUCAAUUACCGAAUCUUUGAACGCAAAUGGCGCCCGGGAGAAGCCUCCAACGGCCAUCCCCGUGCAUGCCGUAUCGCUCAGUGUCGAACAAAAACCCAACCCCAAAAAAGAGUCUUGGCUUGUCGCGCGCGCUUCCCUGCGUUGUGUGGCGUCCGAGUGGUUACCCCGAAUCAACCGUCAAACCGUCGAUUCAUGGGUAAUGUAAAUCAUUUGAUUCGCGGAAGAAGGGCGUGUGGCGGAAGGGGGGUCCGCCUCUCUCUCCACCAUGCGCCUUCAUCUUCUGCGAUCAACGGGCGAAAUCAACUUCACCUGUUGACAAACACAACCUCUUUUUUGUUACAGAAACCUGACGGUGCGGCAGGAUCACCCGCCGAACUUAAGCAUAUUACUCAGCGGAGGAAAAGAAAACAACCGUGAUUCCCUCAGUCAGCGGCGAGCGAAGAGGGACCGAACUCGAUGCCGAAUCGGGCUUCAUAUAGCCUUGAGUUGUGGCAAGGUGCUUCGUGAUUGGUGUGGGAAUGGCGAAAUUCAAUGCGUAAAGCAAACCCAUUGCUGAACACAACCCUUCAUGUGAGUAUUGAGCCAAAGAAGGUGACAGCCCAUUGAGCCAUAAACCCGAGCAUCUCACUAAGUACCAUCAAGCGAGUAGCGCUUCUUGGGAGUGAAGCGUCAAUCGGCAGGUAUGUGUCUGCCAAGGUUAAAUAUAGAGUAGGAAGACCGAUAUCGAACAAGUAGCGUGAGCGAAAGUUUGAAAAGCACUUUGGAAAGAGAGUGACAUAGAACCUGAAGUCGUGACAAUGACAAUGGAAGCAUCUCCAUUUACUGCCAAAACCAGCCUCUCAGCAUCAUCCGCUCGGGACUUUAGUGCCCAGGCGGCAACGACUGCAGAACCGGGGCGUGGUGACAUGAGCGGAGCUAAAGUUGGACGCACUGCCUAGCAGCGAGCGCCUUCUUCUCCGUGCCCUCAAUGUUGGCGCAAGGCAAUGGGAUGCCUUCACCCGUCUUGAAACACGGACCAAGGAGUCAAACAGACACGCAAGAGGGAGGAUAUUGUUAACAGUACUUCUCUCGUACUGAAAGGGUGAUACCUGGUAUCAUGGUGUGCACACAAACGAAUGCCCAACACCAACCGGCCCGUACGCGGGUUGAGUUUGAGUGUGCCUGUUUGGACCCGAAAGGUGGUGAACUAUGCCUGAACAAGGUGAAGCCCGGGGAAACCCAGGUGGAGGCCUGUAGCGAUGCUGACGUGCAAAUCGCUCGCAAGAUUUGGGUAUCGGAGCGAAAGACUCAUCGAACCACCUAGUAGCUGGUUCACGU